AAUUCGCCCUUAGAGUUUGAUCCUGGCUCAGGAUGAACGCUAGCGGCGUGCUUAAUGCAUGCAAGUCGAACGGGGUAGAAUUUCGGUUUUACCCAGUGGCGAACGGGUGAGUAAGACGUUGGUGACCUACCUUGAAGAGGGGAAUAACUAGUGGAAACGCUAGCUAAUACCCCGGACGUUGUGUCUGUUAGAGGGAUGCAACUAAAGCUAUGGCGCUUCAAGAGGGGCCAGCGGCCCAUCAGCUGGUUGGUAGGGUAACGGCCUACCAAGGCGAAGACGGGUAGGGGGCGUGAGAGCGUGACCCCCCACACUGGUACUGAGAGACGGACCAGAUACCUACGGGUAGCAGCAGCAAGGAAUAUUGCCCAAUGGACGGAAGUCUGAGGCAGCAACGCCGCGUGAAGGAUGAAGGCCUUCGGGUCGUAAACUUCUUUUCUGAGGGAAGAGCAAGGACGGUACCUCAGGAAUAAGCUUCGGCUAACUACGUGCCAGCAGCCGCGGUAAAACGUAGGAAGCAAGCGUUAUCCGGAUUUACUGGGCGUAAAGGGCAGGCAGGCGGGAUGGUUAAGUUGGACUUGAAAGCUCCCGGCUCAACUGGGAGAGGCGGUUCAAAACUGGCUAUCUAGAGGAU
rnacentral:rRNA from 1 species